GGUCAAGUGAUCAAGCGCAUCUGGUGGAUGCCUUGGCGGCAACAGGCGAUGAAGGACGUAGUAGCUUGCGAUAAGCCACGGGGAGUCAGCAAACAGACUUUGAUCCGUGGAUUUCCGAAUGGGGCAACCCAGUACCAUGAAGUGGUAUUACCCUACGGGGGGCGAACGGGGGGAACUGAAACAUCUAAGUACCCCUAGGAGAAGAAAAUAAUAAUGAUUCCGCAAGUAGUGGCGAGCGAACGCGGAAGAGCCCAAACCAGCCUGGUUACGGCCAGACUGGGGUUGUAGGACUCACCAAGUGUAUAACAAUUGAACUGGAAUGGCAUGGGAAGGCCAACCGCAGAGGGUGAGAGUCCUGUACAGGUAAGAGCGUUAUAUGAGUGAGUAUCCUGAGUAAGUGGGGACCGGAGAAAUCCCCUCUGAAUCUACCGGCACCAUCCGGUAAGGCUAAAUACUCCUGAGAGACCGAUAGUGAACGAGUACCGUGAGGGAAAGGUGAAAAGUACCGCGAGCAGCGGGGUGAAAUAGAACUUGAAACCAUGCGCUUACAAGCGGACGGAGCCUUCGGGUGACGUCGUGCCUUUUGCAUAAUGAGCCUACGAGUUACUCCUAACUGGCGAGGUUAAGUUCUUAUUUAACGGAGCCGAAGCGAAAGCAAGUCCAAAUAGGGCGAUUAGUCAGUUGGGGUAGACGCGAAACUUUGUGAUCUAUCCAUGGGCAGGUUGAAGUUCUGGUAACACAGAAUGGAGGACCGAACCCGUUGACGUUGAAAAGUCUUGGGAUGACCUGUGGAUAGGGGUGAAAGGCCAAUCAAACUGAGAGAUAGCUCGUUCUCCCCGAAAUGUUUUUAGGAACAGCCUCGGAUAUAGAAGUAUGAUAGAGGUAGAGCUACUGAUUGGGCUAGGGGGCUUCAUCGCCUACCAAACCCUGACAAACUCCGAAUGCUAUCAUAUAUCUCCGGGAGUGAGGCUGCGGGCGCUAAGGUCCGUGGCCGAGAGGGAAAUAACCCAGAUUAGCAACUAAGGUCCCUAAUACGUAGUUAAGUUGAUCAAACGAGGUGGGAUUUCUAUAACAGCCAGGAUGUUGGCUUGGAAGCAGCCAUUCAUUUAAAGAGUGCGUAACAGCUCACUGGUCGAGAGAUCCUGCACGGAAAAUAAUCGGGCAUCAAACUACGAACCGAAGUUCUAAAUUCUACCACCUCGGUGGUAGAGUGGUAGGGGAGCAUUCAAAUCUGCACUGAAGGUGUUGGGCGACCAAUGCUGGAGCGAUUUGAAAAGAAAAUGUAGGCAUAAGUAACGAUAAUUAAAGUGAAAAACUUUAACGCGAAAAGUCUAAGGUUUCCUGAUCAACGUUAAUCGGAUCAGGGUUAGUCUGGUCCUUAGGAAAACCCGAAAGGGGUAUCUGAUGGAAAGAAGGUUAAUAUUCCUUCACCUGCUAUGCAUUAAAAGUGACGCAGGGACGUGGUGGUUGCGUACGGACGGAAGUGUACGCCUGAGUGGAGUCUUCGGACAAAGCGAAAUCAUAAAAUCCCUGCCAAGAAAAGCGAGCAUAGCAGCCAGUACCGGAAUCCGACACAGGUAGACGGGAUGAGUAUUCUAACGCGCUCGGGUGAGCCGUGGAGAAGGAACUAGGCAAAUUAACGCUGUAACUUCGGGAUAAAGCGUACCGCAGUAAUGCGGUCACAGUAAAAUGGUUCAACCAACUGUUUAACAAAAACACAGGGCCCUGCAAAAACGUAAGUUGACGUAUAGAGCCUGAAACCUGCCCGGUGCUGGAAGGUUAAGGAAGGGUGUUCGGCGCAAGCCAAAGCUCCUGACUGAAGCCCCAGUAAACGGCGGCCGUAACUAUAACGGUCCUAAGGUAGCGAAAUUCCUUGUCGGGUAAGUUCCGACCUGCACGAAUGGUCUAAUGAGUUGAACACUGUCUCCUCCACGAGCCCGGUGAAAUUGUAGUAUCGGUGAAGAUGCCGGUUACCCGCCACGGGACGGAAAGACCCCGUGAACCUUCACUACAACUUUGCAUUGAUUUUGAGCCACAAAUGUGUAGGAUAGUUGGGAGACUUUGAAGCAGCAUCGCCAGGUGUUGUGGAGUCAUCGUUGAAAUACCAACCUUUUGUUGCUUAGAACCUAACCCCUUGCGGGGGACAUUGCAUGGUGGGUAGUUUGACUGGGGUGGUCGCCUCCUAAAAAGUAACGGAGGCUCGCAAAGGUACCCUCAGUACGGUUGGUAAUCGUACGAAGAGCGCAUUAGUAAAAGGGUGCUUGACUGUGAGACAAACACGUCGAGCAGGAGCGAAAGCUGGCUAAAGUGAUCCGGUGUUUCUGUAUGGAAGGGACAUCGCUCAAAGGAUAAAAGGUACUCCGGGGAUAACAGGCUGAUCUUACCCAAGAGCUCAUAUCGACGGUAAGGUUUGGCACCUCGAUGUCGGUUCGUCACAUCCUGGGGCUGGAGAAGGUCCCAAGGGUUCGGCUGUUCGCCGAUUAAAGUGGCACGUGAACUGGGUUCAGAACGUCGCAAGACAGUUCGGUCCCUAUCUGUGGUGGGCGCUAGUAAAUUGAG
rnacentral:rRNA from 1 species